GACGAACGCUGGCGGCGUGCCUAAUACAUGCAAGUCGAGCGAGAGCGACCGGUGCUUGCACUGGUCAAUCUAGUGGCGAACGGGUGAGUAACACGUGGGUAACCUGCCCAUCAGAGGGGGAUAACAUCCGGAAACGGAUGCUAAAACCGCAUAGGUCUUCGAACCGCAUGGUUUGAAGAGGAAAAGAGGCGCAAGCUUCUGCUGAUGGAUGGACCCGCGGUGCAUUAGCUAGUUGGUGAGGUAACGGCUCACCAAGGGCGUGAUGCAUAGCCGACCUGAGAGGGUGAUCGGCCACAUUGGGACUGAGACACGGCCCAAACUCCUACGGGAGGCAGCAGUAGGGAAUCUUCCGCAAUGGACGCAAGUCUGACGGAGCAACGCCGCGUGAGUGAAGAAGGUUUUCGGAUCGUAAAACUCUGUUGUUAGAGAAGAACAAGUGCUAGAGUAACUGUUAGCGCCUUGACGGUAUCUAACCAGAAAGCCACGGCUAACUACGUG
rnacentral:rRNA from 1 species